UUGGCUUUCGAAGGAACAGGCCCGUUAGGGUUUCGAUCGAUUCGUUAUUAGGGUUUUAUCUCAACAUGUCCCGUUCAUUAUUUAUAUCCGUCCAUCUUGCUGGAUCCACUCAACCAUCUUCCUCACUCCCUCUCAGUUAAAUCUUUACUUUCGAUUUUGUUUGUCAAAUAACUAGUUUCAGAGAUCUUUUUUGUUGUUAUGAGUGCCAUGAGGAAGAAGAAAUUGCUCCAGAAACAAGAUUUGAUCUUGCUUGUGAUGGUAGCAUCCUCUAAGAAGUUCUGAGCACUUUAUCUUUUGGAAAUUUUGUUUUACCCAAAAACUGUUCUCGUUUUGAUAAGGCGAAGUAUUUAGCGAUUCAUAUGGCGAGAUGAAGAUACAAUUCAUUUGUUCUAUCGACCUACUGACAUUUCGAUUGAUGUUAAACUAUGGAUUCCGACAGGUCAGCGAUAGAUAGGUUCAUCCCAGGAGCUUUUGUGAAGACAACCUAGUACCAAGCUGCAUCUAUAUUAUUCCUUGUAUUACUUUGAUGUUGCUAUGAAAUGUAACCUAUGUAAAUUUAUUACUAUUAAUGCAAUGGUUGUUGUUCUUUGAUUACUA